AGAGUUUGAUCCUCGGCUCAGGAUGAACGCUGGCGGCGUGCCUAAUACAUGCAAGUCGAACGCACUGUGGUUCAACUGAUUUGAAGAGCUUGCUCUGAUAUGACGAUGAACAUUGCAGUGAGUGGCGAACGGGUGAGUAACACGUGGGAAACCUACCUCUUAGCGGGGGAUAACAUCUGGAAACAGAUGCUAAUACCGCAUAACACUAGCAACCGCAUGGUUGCUACUUGAAAGAUGGUUCUGCUAUCACUAAGAGAUGGUCCCGCGGCGCAUUAGUUAGUUGGUGAGGUGAUGGCUCACCAAGACGAUGAUGCGUAGCCGAGUUGAGAGACUGAUCGGCCACAAUGGGACUGAGACACGGCCCAUACUCCUACGGGAGGCAGCAGUAGGGAAUCUUCCACAAUGGACGAAAGUCUGAUGGAGCAACGCCGCGUGUGUGAUGAAGGGUUUCGGCUCGUAAAACACUGUUGUAAGAGAAGAAUAGCAUCAAGAGUAACUGCUUGGUGUGUGACGGUAUCUUACCAGAAAGGAACGGCUAAAUACGUGCCAGCAGCCGCGGUAAUACGUAUGUUCCAAGCGUUAUCCGGAUUUAUUGGGCGUAAAGCGAGCGCAGACGGUUUUUUAAGUCCGAAGUGAAAGCCCACAGCUUAACUGUGGAAGUGCUUUGGAAACUGGAUGACUUGAGUGCAGUAGAGGAGGUGGAAUUCCAUGUGUAGCCGGUUGAAUGCGUAGAUAUAUGGGAGGAACACCAGUGGCGAAGGCGGCUCUCUGGACUGUAACUGACGUGAGGCUCGAAAG
rnacentral:rRNA from 1 species